AUCAGCCCCGUGGGCUCCAAACAGACUCCGCAGCUUCGAUCGCAGUAGGAGGCGAGAUAAGGAAGGAGGAGGCGAGUUGAGGGGAGAUGGGCGGCGGCGGUGUAGAUCACCACCAUGGUGGCGCGCAUGGCGCGGAGGACUUCCGGACCAAGGUGUGGAGCAUGACCGGCGGGCCCUACUGCCGCCCCAAACACUGGAAACGGAACACCGCCAUCGCCAUGUUCGGCAUCUUCCUUGUUUGCAUCCCCAUCGCCAUGAAGUCCGCCGAGCUCGAGCAACGGCCUCACCAUCCAGUUCGUCCCAUACCUUCACAGCUUUGGUGCAAAAACUUUGGUAAUAAAGAGUAUUGAUUUGUUAGUCUGGUGAAACUUCCAUGGUUGGGAUGCUAUCCCUUUUUGUGUGAUCGUUGUAUUAUGUGCAAUUCGGCACCUAAUGCUGGAAUAAGGAUGCAGCUAAUACAUAAUGUGUUUAUUUGUGCUUGUUUUGAACAUUUGGUGCCGGUGGUAGUAGUUACAGAACGAAUAAGAAAGUUGUGCUUCUUUUGCAUGGCAAUAAAUUAAAGGGAGUUCAUGCUUCA